GUGGUGGUUCAGUGGUUGAAUGCUUGCCUUGCAUGCAUGAGGACCUGGGUUCAAUUCCUCACAACCACA
rnacentral:tRNA from 1 species